CUCCGCAAUAGCUCCCGUCCUUUGGAAGGAAGAAGAGCCAACUGGGGUCAUUUGCCUUGGUCUCCUCUCUUCAUUAGAUCCAUAUAAAGAUUGUUGCAGCCCUCAGUGUCGACAGAGAAGCCCGGGCUGGAGAGCCGGAGACGGCCAUGUGCAGAGAGGCCAGGCAAUGCCUGAUUGUGAUUGCAGGAAACUGUUGCCCACACAGAACUGGUUGCUGCAGUAGGAGCUGGAAUAAGAGACAGGGUCCUGCAGAUCUUUGAGCGUUAAGACAAAACCUUUGUCCUGAAAGACUUCGUGAGCUGGUCCUGAGAGACUGUGGCCAAUGCCAGUGUGUUAUCUAUUUCUGAAAUCCGAACUUCAGAAUGAACGGAAGGGAGUCAAAAACCCUGCCUCAGCAUGUCAGGCAAACCUGUAUAUGAGAGCUGCGAGUUUGUUUUGUUGAUUAGUUGAUUGGGGCUGUGGUUGUGGGCAUGGUGGCGUAACACAUUCUUUGUUCUCGUCUACCUUUGCUCCCUUCCCUUCCUAAGUUACAGAAAUAAUACAUGCUUGUUUGAACGCGCAUUUGUUACAAGCAUGUGAUUUUUUUGUAUCUUAAAGUAAUACCAAAGGAAAUAAAAGUUUUUCCCUUACCCCAUCAUUAUCCCUCCAAGGUAAC
rnacentral:lncRNA from 1 species